rnacentral:rRNA from 1 species
CCUACGGGGCGCAGCAGUAGGGAAUCUUCCACAAUGGGCGAAAGCCUGAUGGAGCAACGCCGCGUGGGUGAAGAAGGGUUUCGGCUCGUAAAGCUCUGUUGGUAGUGAAGAAAGAUAGAGGUAGUAACUGGCCUUUAUUUGACGGUAAUUACUUAGAAAGUCACGGCUAACUACGUGCCAGCAGCCGCGGUAAUACGUGGGUGGCAAGCGUUGUCCGGAUUUAUUGGGCGUAAAGGGAACGCAGGCGGUCUUUUAAGUCUGAUGUGAAAGCCUUCGGCUUAACCGGAG